rnacentral:rRNA from 1 species
GAUGAACGCUGGCGGCGUGCCUAACACAUGCAAGUCGAGCGAGCUUGCCUAGAUGAUUUUAGUGCUUGCACUAAAUGAAACUAGAUACAAGCGAGCGGCGGACGGGUGAGUAACACGUGGGUAACCUGCCCAAGAGACUGGGAUAACACCUGGAAACAGAUGCUAAUACCGGAUAACAACACUAGACGCAUGUCUAGAGUUUGAAAGAUGGUUCUGCUAUCACUCUUGGAUGGACCUGCGGUGCAUUAGCUAGUUGGUAAGGUAACGGCUUACCAAGGCAAUGAUGCAUAGCCGAGUUGAGAGACUGAUCGGCCACAUUGGGACUGAGACACGGCCCAA